rnacentral:ncRNA from 1 species
GGGCAGGAUAGGUGAAGUUAGCUAACCUUCGGUUAGCUAACUUCACCACCUGCUUAUUCGCACUUUGUGCUCAACGGUCAUACGCGCCCGUCCCUGCU